rnacentral:rRNA from 1 species
GACGAACGCUGGCGGCGUGCUUAACACAUGCCAGUCGAACGGUGAAGCUCCAGCUUGCUGGAGUGGAUCAGUGGCGAACGGGUGAGUAACACGUGAGCAACCUGCCCCUGACUCUGGAAUAAGCGCUGGAAACGGCGUCUAAUACUGGAUACGAGAAGGGUCCGCAUGGGCACUUUCUGGAAAGUUUUUCGGUUGGGGAUGGGCUCGCGGCCUAUCAGCUUGUUGGUGAGGUAAUGGCUCACCAAGGCGACGACGGGUAGCCGGCCUGAGAGGGCGACCGGCCACACUGGGACUGAGACACGGCCCAGACUCCUACGGGAGGCAGCAGUGGGGAAUAUUGCACAAUGGGCGAAAGCCUGAUGCAGCGACGCCGCGUGAGGGAUGACGGCCUUCGGGCUGUAAACCUCUUUCAGCAGGGAAGAAGCGAAAGUGACGGUACCUGCAGAAGAAGCACCGGCUAACUACGUG